rnacentral:rRNA from 1 species
UACAUCGGAACGUGCCCAAUCGUGGGGGAUAACGCAGCGAAAGCUGUGCUAAUACCGCAUACGAUCUACGGAUGAAAGCAGGGGAUCGCAAGACCUUGCGCGAAUGGAGCGGCCGAUGGCAGAUUAGGUAGUUGGUGAGGUAAAGGCUCACCAAGCCUUCGAUCUGUAGCUGGUCUGAGAGGACGACCAGCCACACUGGGACUGAGACACGGCCCAGACUCCUACGGGAGGCAGCAGCG